ensembl:lncRNA
GCCAAUGACAGUGAUGUUAAGAAAUUGGUGACGUUUCUCCCCCUCCACAAGCCUCAUCACCACAUUCUCCCAACACACUCACCUGCAGCCCGAUGUGGAUAUUUUCCCAGAUAUUGAAAGCCGUUCAGCAUGUACAAUUAUGCACACUCUCACUGUGUAGCCGACUCCAAGUAGGGCAAUGUAGACUGAUACCACUGAUAUUCAGUGGACUGAAAUGGUUCAGGACAAUUGAAUGGCCUGCCCCAUUCCUCAUUUACAGUUGGUGAUUAUGUAAUUAUGCGUUAUUCGCGUCCCCUCAUCAACUCACCCAUUCUCCCCUUCAUACUUUACUUAUUGUAUUCAGUCUGUUGUUAUAUGUGUGAAAUUAGUUUAGGUAUAGUUUAGGUUCAGUUUCCAAAGGCAAUUAUCGGGGUGAUUAUCAGCUGGGCACUGCACUUUAAACUGUAGGAAGAAAGGGGGGGCCUUAAUUCUUCUCUAAAAUGAAUGUAUGGGCAUUGCCACGCCCAUGCCACACACCCUGCCACGCCCAUGCCACACACCCUGCCACGCCCACCACCUAAGCCCCUUUUGAUCCAUAAAAACCCCUGAUUAGGGUGUGGAUGUGUGUGUGGAUGGGUUCCGUGUGGAUGUGAAGGAUCCGGAGGAGAACCUGAUCAGCACAGCGGUUGAGACAGUCAUCACCGUGGUGGAGGACUUUCAGCUGCUAGAUGUCUUCAAGCACCUUUCUGCCCGCAAGGCCAUAAAGAGGACCAUAGACGGUGGAUGACUAUGGUCUCUUCAAUAGGGAAGUCAACCUGGUCAACAAGGAGCUGAGCAGAAAGGUGGUACACUACAGCAUGCCCACUUCAUGUGCCUCAGAGCAGCAGAGGAGAGGAGGUUCGUCUGGGGGAAAGACAGCUGGUCCAGACCCUGGAUGAGAUGGGCAGGAGUCACCUGGACGGACAGACAGCUGGUCCAGACCCUGGAUGAGAUGGGCAGGAGUCAGUCCCUGGACGGACAGACAGCUGGUCCAGACCCUGGAUGAGAUGGGCAGGAGUCAGUCUCUGGACGGACAGACAGCUGGUCCAGACCCUGGAUGAGAUGGGCAGGAGUCAGUCUCUGGACGGACAGACAGCUGGUCCAGACCCUGGAUGAGAUGGGCAGGAGUCACCUGGACGGACAGACAGCUGGUCCAGACCCUGGAUGAGAUGGGCAGGAGUCACCUGGACGGACAGACAGCUGGUCCAGAC